rnacentral:rRNA from 1 species
AUUGAACGCUGGCGGCAGGCCUAACACAUGCAAGUCGAGCGGAGCGGCGGACGGGUGAGUACUACCUAGGAAUCUGCCUGGUAGUGGUGGAUAACGUUCGGAAACGGACGCUAAUACCGCAUACUAUCAGAUGAGCCUAGGUCGGAUUAGCUAGUUGGUGAGGUAAUGGCUCACCAAGGCUACGAUCCGUAACUGGUCUGAGAGGAUGAUCAGUCACACUGGAACUGAGACACGGUCCACAGGCCUACGGGAGGCAGCAGUGGGGAAUAUUGGACAAUGGGCGAAGGCCUGCUCAAGCAAUGCCGCGUGUGUGAAGAAGGUCUUCGGAUUAUAAAGCACUUUAAGUUGGGAGACGUUGACGACAGAAUAAGCGCAGGCUAACUCUGUGCAAGCAGCCGCGGUAAUUC